rnacentral:rRNA from 1 species
UCAGACGAUGCGUCAUGCAUAUCAAUAAGCGGAGGAAAAGAAACUAACAAGGAUUCCCUCAGUAACGGCGAGUGAAGCGGGAAGAGCUCAAAUUUGAAAUCUUGAAAGGUCACCUUUCACGAAUUGUAGUUUAAAGAAGUGUUUUCUGUUACGAUCGUAAUAUAAGUUCUUUGGAAUAGGACAUCACAGAGGGUGAGAAUCCCGUCUAUGAUUGCGAUUUGUAGCUUUGUGAUACACUUUCAAAGAGUCGGGUUGUUUGGGAAUGCAGCCCAAAACGGGAGGUAAAUUUCUUCUAAGGCUAAAUAUUGGCGAGAGACCGAUAGCGAACAAGUACCGUGAGGGAAAGAUGAAAAGAACUUUGAAAAGAGAGUUAAAUAGUACGUGAAAUUGUCAAAAGGGAAGCGUUUAACACCAGUGUUGUUUUCUGAAAAUCAACCUCUGUUAGCUUUAUGCAUGUUUGUUUAGACCUAAUCAGCUAUCUUGCAUGUUCUAUUGUUUGCAGUGGUGCGACUUUUCAGUUUACAGGUCAACAUCAGUUUUUUUUACCGUAAAAAAGUUAAAGAAAGGUAGCUCAUGGCUCCGGUCGUGAGUGUUAUAGUCUUUUUCCUAUGCGGUAGGAGAGACUGAGGUCUGCAGUGUAGGCUAUUUGGCUAGAUACUCAGGUGCUAUGUGAUACCAUUUCAUAAACAACUUGUUGAUUAUGUUUUGUCUAUUGCAUACUCGCUUGUACUAUCAUACCUACGCUUAGGAUGUUGAAGACUCUACAGAGAUA